rnacentral:misc_RNA from 1 species
CCUCCGUUGGUGAACCAGCGGAGGGAUCAUUACAGAGUUGCAAAACUCCAAAACCAUUGUGAACGUUACCUAUCCCGUUGCUUCGGCGGGCGGCCCGGGCCCCGCGCCCGGCGCCCCCCGGCCCCCCGUGGGCGCCCGCCGGAGGUAAACCAAACCCUUGAAUUGCAUGGCCUCUCUGAGUCUUCUGUACUGAAUAAGUCAAAACUUUCAACAACGGAUCUCUUGGUUCUG